GAUGAACGCUAGCUACAGGCUUAACACAUGCAAGUCGAGGGGCAGCGCAGUGUAGCAAUACAUGGGCGGCGACCGGCGCACGGGUGCGUAACGCGUAUCCAACCUUCCCGUUACUCAGGGAUAGCCUUCCGAAAGGGAGAUUAAUACCUGAUGGUGUUCAAAUUCCGCAUGUUAUUUGAACUAAAGAUUUACCGGUAACGGAUGGGGAUGCGUGACAUUAGGUAGAUGGCGGGGUAACGGCCCACCAUGCCUACGAUGUCUAGGGGUUCUGAGAGGAAGGUCCCCCACACUGGAACUGAGACACGGUCCAGACUCCUACGGGAGGCAGCAGUGGGGAAUGUUGGUCAAUGGUCUGACGACUGAACCAGCCAUGCCGCGUGAAGGUCACGGCCCUAUGGGUCUUAAACUUCUUUUGUAAGGGAGCAAUAAGUCUCACGUGUGGGAUGAUGAGAGUACCUUACGAAUAAGCAUCGGCUAACUCCGUG
rnacentral:rRNA from 1 species